GAUGAACGCUGGCGGCGUGCCUAAUACAUGCAAGUCGAGCGAACAGACGAGGAGCUUGCUCCUCUGACGUUAGCGGCGGACGGGUGAGUAACACGUGGAUAACCUACCUAUAAGACUGGGAUAACUUCGGGAAACCGGAGCUAAUACCGGAUAAUAUAUUGAACCGCAUGGUUCAAUAGUGAAAGACGGUUUUGCUGUCACUUAUAGAUGGAUCCGCGCCGCAUUAGCUAGUUGGUAAGGUAACGGCUUACCAAGGCAACGAUGCGUAGCCGACCUGAGAGAGUGAUCGGCCAAACUGGAACUGAGACACGGUCCAGACUCCUACGGGAGGCAGCAGUAGGGAAUCUUCCGCAAUGGGCGAAAGCCUGACGGAGCAACGCCGCGUGAGUGAUGAAGGUCUUCGGAUCGUAAAACUCUGUUAUUAGGGAAGAACAAAUGUGUAAGUAACUAUGCACGUCUUGACGGUACCUAAUCAGAAAGCCACGGCUAACUACGUG
rnacentral:rRNA from 1 species